UACGAAGGGUGCAAGCGUUAAUCGGAAUUACUGGGCGUAAAGGGUGCGUAGGCGGUUCGUUAAGUCUGUCGUGAAAUCCCCGGGCUCAACCUGGGAAUGGCGAUGGAUACUGGCGAGCUAGAGUGUGUCAGAGGAUGGUGGAAUUCCCGGUGUAGCGGUGAAAUGCGUAGAGAUCGGGAGGAACAUCAGUGGCGAAGGCGGCCCGCUGGGCAGUGGCUGACGCUGAGGCGCGACAGCGUGGGGAGCAAACAGG
rnacentral:rRNA from 1 species